rnacentral:miRNA from 1 species
CAUAUUAAUUUCAGCAUCCAU